UACGUAGGGUGCAAGCGUUGUCCGGAAUUAUUGGGCGUAAAGAGCUCGUAGGCGGUCUGUCGCGUCGGCUGUGAAAACCCGGGGCUCAACCCCGGGCCUGCAGUCGAUACGGGCAGACUAGAGUGUGGUAGGGGAGACUGGAAUUCCUGGUGUAGCGGUGAAAUGCGCAGAUAUCAGGAGGAACACCGGUGGCGAAGGCGGGUCUCUGGGCCAUAACUGACGCUGGAGGAGCGAAAGCGUGGGGAGCGAACAGG
rnacentral:rRNA from 1 species